CAACGCCCGCAAGGUGCGUGGCAGACGGGUGAGUAACGCGUGGGAACCUUCCCUGUGGUACGGAAUAACUUCGGGAAACCGAAGCUAAUACCGUAUAUCACCUCCGGGAGAAAGAUUUAUCGCCAUAGGAUGGGCCCGCGUUGGAUUAGCUAGUUGGUGGGGUAAUGGCCUACCAAGGCAACGAUCCAUAGCUGGUCUGAGAGGAUGAUCAGCCACACUGGGACUGAGACACGGCCCAGACUCCUACGGGAGGCAGCAGUGGGGAAUAUUGGACAAUGGGGGCAACCCUGAUCCAGCCAUGCCGCGUGAGUGAAGAAGGCCUUAGGGUUGUAAAGCUCUUUCGCCAGGGACGAUAAUGACGGUACCUGGAUAAGAAGCCCCGGCUAACUUCGUGCCAGCAGCCGCGGUAAUACGAAGGGGGCUAGCGUUGUUCGGAAUCACUGGGCGUAAAGCGCACGCAGGCGGAUUGAUAAGUCAAGGGUGAAAUCCCGGGGCUCAACCUCAGAAUUGCCUUUGAUACUGUCUAUCUUGAGUUCGGGAGAUGUUGGCGGAAUUCCUAGUGUAGAGGUGAAAUUCGUAUAUUUUAAGAACAAACCCAGUGGCGAAAGCGGCCAACUGGCCCGAUACUGACGCUCAUGUGCAAAAGCGUGGGGAGCAAACAGGAUUCAAUACCCUGGCUAGUCCCCGCCGUAAACUAUGGAUGCCUACCGUUGGGGAACUUGCUCUUCAAGGACACAACUAUAGAUUUAAACUUCACGCCGGGGGAAAAACGGUCCCAAAUUAAAUUCAAGAGAUUUAGCAGGGGCCCGCGUAAUCGGUGGACAUGUGGUUUUAUCCGAGGAAUACGAAAAACCUUACCAGCCUAAUG
rnacentral:rRNA from 1 species